rnacentral:lncRNA from 1 species
CAUGCCUGAACCCAGCUACGCUUCACUGUGAGUCCUGGAAGACCUGCUCCCCGUUUUGCAGGCCUUUUCCCACCUGGCCUGGGAGGGUGGGGCCCUGACUGACUCCAGCUACAAAAGCUGAGGCUGCUGAAGAGACCAGGGAUCAUCUUGGCUGUCUCUCAGUGCAGACCCAGGUCACUGAGCCUGAGCUUCCACUGCAGUCGCCCACCAUGAACCACCAUGGGCAGGAAUGGCAGCAAUGGCAGCAGACACAUUCUAUGCUUAUGUUGCUCUCCAGGCUGAUGAAUGCUUAACUAUGCUCCUAAUGACACUCAGAAUUGAGGACUGUUCCUGCCUCUUGUACAAAGAAGAUAAGGGGUGCCAGGGGCCCACUGAAUCCAGCAUCGUGUCCUCACAUUGGCCAAAAUCUGUUUACAUGCAGAAGUCCAAAGUUCAGUUCCUGGCAUCUCCAGGUUGGGCUAGGAAAAUACCUCUGUCUGAAACCCUGGAAAGCCACUGCCAGCCAGUGCAGAAACAUACUGAGCUAGAUAAGCCAAAGGCCUGAUUCUGCAUGAGGUGGUGUCGCGUGUUCCUAUGUUUUGCUAACUGCCAAGCAACGGAUUGCUUCCCUUUGCUCCCGCUGAGAACUGCAACCAGAGAUCAGAAUGCAGUUGGAGAAACUCUGCAGUUCUUUUCAGCUUGCUAAGGAGGCAGUUUCGAGUGGAAGAAGAGGAAGAAGAGGAAGAAGAGGAAGAGGAAGAAAGCUUGACCCUCUCUUAAUUCCAACCUUUCAUGGACGCUUUUCAUUUACAAUAUGCCUUGGAAAGAUAAAUCGCAGAUAAAUCCCAUGUAAUUUGGCCCUUGCAGCCACCACUUCACACAUAAGAAAGCAACAACGUGGGUUUGCCGCUCUGAUGAAUGUGCCGGUAUGAUUCAUGUUUCUUUCACCCUCGAGUAGCUGAAUGCAUUUCAUAAUUUUAAAAGUAGACUAAUCAAUUCAACUGUACACACCUGUGUGUGUAUGUAAAAAGAGGCUCUAACUGCUCGUUCGGCAUAUUUUUUCUAUAGGAUGGCGCUGCUAUGGUAACAUCCUUACCUUUCCCUGCGCUGGCUUGCAGAGAUUUGGCUACAUCAUACAAACAGGUGUAUGCAGGUAGGAGCAAAAAAAAAAAAAAAAAAAAACAGAUGUGGAAAGCAGCAGCAACAGCUUGCAUGCUGAGGUAAAGAGGCUCCCAGGCUAUAGCUGUCAACUUUUCCCUUUUCUUGCGAGGAAUCCUAUUCAGAAUAAGGGAAUUUCCCUUUAAAAAAGGGAAACAUUGACAGCUAUGUCCCAGGCCUGGACACU